rnacentral:rRNA from 1 species
GGUCUUUUAGGAGACAGUGGCGGACGGGUGAGUAACGCGUAAGAAUCUACCUUCAGGGUUGGGGACAACCACUGGAAACGGUGGCUAAUACCGAAUGUGCCGAGAGGUGAAAGGCUUGCUGCCUGAAGAAGAGCUUGCGUCUGAUUAGCUAGUUGGUAGUGUAAGAGACUACCAAGGCGACGAUCAGUAGCUGGUCUGAGAGGAUGAUCAGCCACACUGGGACUGAGACACGGCCCAGACUCCUACGGGAGGCAGCAGUGGGGAAUUUUCCGCAAUGGGCGAGAGCCUGACGGAGCAAUACCGCGUGAGGGAGGAAGGCUCUUGGGUUGUAAACCUCUUUUCUCAGGGAAGAACAGAAUGACGGUACCUGAGGAAUAAGCAUCGGCUAACUCCGUGCCAGCAGCCGCGGUAAUACGGAGGAUGCAAGCGUUAUCCGGAAUGAUUGGGCGUAAAGGGUCCGCAGGUGGCAUUGUAAGUCUGCUGUUAAAGAGUUUGGCUCAACCAAAUAAGAGCAGUGGAAACUACAAAGCUAGAGUGUGGUCGGGGCAGAGGGAAUUCCUGGUGUAGCGGUGAAAUGCGUAGAUAUC